UGCUGCCACACACCUGGCUUAAUUAAGCACGUAAUCAAGACGCAGGUAACGCGGUCAUUUGAGCCAGGUGUGUUAUUGUAGAGACGCGUCUAAAACAUGAAAAACUGCUGUGAGAGAGAAAACGACGCGUUAAUUUUCAAAAGCAGGGAUUUUGCGAGUGCUGAAGAUAAUGCCCAGAUGCUGUCACAUCGUCCUGCCAACCUUAUCCUGAUGGCCUUUACAAACUUCUGAUGAGAAAAUGACGUUUCCCCACAGAAGUUCAAACAGGGAAACAUUUGCCGACACACCACCUGGAUCCCUGACUGGCAGGUACAUACACGCUGUUCUAUCUGAAAAAUUCGACAAAUGGCUGUCCAUCUCCAGUGGUGAAAGGACACUGCUGCCUGGUUGAUACUUGAGCUAAGAAGGAGGGGGAGCUUCUUCUGUUUUUGGAGGAGCAGGGACAAGAUUCAAAGGCCUGACAAUCAGAUGCUGUGGAGUAGAACAACAACAACUAUUUUGGGUACAAGAGCGUCUCACCAAACAGCGAUUUGACUGAAGACGGUACAGAGACUCUGCUUAUAAACACGUUAUAAGAGAGAGUCGGAGGAGAUGAAAAGUGGCGGGUGAGCCUGCAGGCGUUCCAAUCAAGACGAACAGAGGAGAAGCGAUGUAUU